UUGACUCUUUUGGAAUAUGUAGCGGCAUGAACGACCUGUUUGACAAUAAGUCAAUACGCGUUCACGUGAAUUUAUUUCUUCUUCGAUCACUUUCACUCCCUCCCCCACUUCACUACUUGUCAUCAUAUUCUUCCUCCAGCACAAUCCAUCAAAAAACAACUUAAGCCAUGGAUCCUCCUCCAACACAAUCCAUUGAUAUUUCAACCGAUGCAGGAGAAGAUGAUUUACAAGACAAAAUCGUCAACGAUUGUUGUUCUUGCUGCUAUGACUGUAUACAGGGUUUAUUGGAUGACUUGUGUUGUUGCUUCUGUUGAAUUCUUUGGAUCAAAUUUCAAUUCCAAGUAGUAUAUUAUUAUAGACUCAAUUAUGUAAUGGGGUUUCUUCCCCUCAACCCUUUCUUUAUCGAUAAUUGAUGUAUGUUGAUAAUUAUUGAUAUUAUUAAUUUUAAGAUAGUGUUGAUUUCUAA